rnacentral:rRNA from 1 species
GAUGAACGCCGGCGGCGUGCCUAAUACAUGCAAGUCGAGCGAACGGACGAGAAGCUUGCUUCUCUGAUGUUAGCGGCGGACGGGUGUGUAACACGUGGAUAACCUACCUAUAAGACUGGGAUAACUUCGGGAAACCGGAGCUAAUACCGGAUGAUAUUUUGAACCGCAUGGUUCAAUAGUGAAAGACGGUCUUGCUGUCACUUAUAGAUGGAUCCGCGCCGCAUUAGCUAGUUGGUAAGGUAACGGCUUACCAAGGCAACGAUGCAUAGCCGACCUGAGAGGGUGAUCGGCCACACUGGAACUGAGACACGGUCCAGACUCCUACGGGAGGCAGCAGUAGGGAAUCUUCCGCAAUGGGCGAAAGCCUGACGGAGCAACGCCGCGUGAGUGAUGAAGGUCUUCGGAUCGUAAAACUCUGUUAUUAGGGAAGAACAUAUGUGUAAGUAACUGUGCACAUCUUGACGGUACCUAAUCAGAAAGCCACGGCUAACUACGUG